rnacentral:rRNA from 1 species
UACGGAGGGUGCAAGCGUUGUCCGGAAUUAUUGGGCGUAAAGCGCGCGCAGGUGGUUUCUUAAGUCUGAUGUGAAAGCCCACGGCUCAACCGUGGAGGGUCAUUGGAAACUGGGGAACUUGAGUGCAGGAGAGAAGAGUGGAAUUCCACGUGUAGCGGUGAAAUGCGUAGAGAUGUGGAGGAACACCAGUGGCGAAGGCGACGUCCUGGACCGGCAUUGACGCUGAGGCGCGAAGCCAGGG